rnacentral:sRNA from 1 species
GUCCUCGUGGAAGGUUCGUGUGCUAGUUAGAUGGGCGCCAGGGGUCGCCGGCGGGAAGCAUGGAGGGGUCUUUGGGGGCCUUUGGGAACAUGGAGUCCUAUUCUGUUCCGCCUGGGGCCUCGGUGGCGGCUUGCAUGCCCCGAGAUGACGGCCGCUGCCCUAGGCAGGGCCGGCGGGCGAUUGCGCGUGUCCUGCUCCUCUUAGGCCCGGGACCGCGGGAUGGGUGUCGGCGUGACCAGGUCUGAGCUCCCUGUCUCUCCUCAGUGACAUCGUCUUUAAACCCUGCGUGGCAAUCCCUGACGCACCGCCGUGAUGCCCAGGGAAGACAGGGCGACCUGGAAGUCCAACUACUUCCUUAAGAUCAUCGUAAGUGCAGGCAACUAUUGGAUGAUUAUCCGAAAUGUUU